rnacentral:rRNA from 1 species
GACGAACGCUGGCGGCGUGCUUAACACAUGCAAGUGGAGCGACGAACCGGGGCUUGCCCCGGGGCAGAGCCGCGAACGGGUGAGUAACACGUGGGUAACCCACCCCGAUGACCGGGACAACCCGAGGAAACUCGGGCUAAUACCGGAUGUGCCCCUUGACCAUGAGGUCAAGGCGUAAAGAUAGCUUCGGCCUUCGCAUCGGGACGGGCCCGCCGCCCAUUAGCUUGUUGGUGGGGUAAAGGCCUACCAAGGCGACGAUGGGUAGCUGGUCUGAGAGGACGAUCAGCCACAUUGGGACUGAGACACGGCCCAGACUCCUACGGGAGGCAGCAGUGGGGAAUCUUGCGCAAUGCGCGAAAGCGUGACGCAGCAACGCCGCGUGGGGGAAGAAGGCCUUCGGGUUGUAAACCCCUUUCAGUUGGGACGAAGCUUCGCCGGUGAAUAGCCGGCUGGAGUGACGGUACCUUCACAAGAAGCCCCGGCUAACUACGUGCCAGCAGCCGCCGCCGUAA